ACGCUGGCGGCAGGCCUAACACAUGCAAGUCGAGCGGCCGCGGGAAGUAGCUUGCUACUUUGCCGGCGAGCGGCGGACGGGUGAGUAAUGUCUGGGAAACUGCCUGAUGGAGGGGGAUAACUACUGGAAACGGUAGCUAAUACCGCAUGACGUCGCAAGACCAAAGUGGGGGACCUUCGGGCCUCACGCCAUCGGAUGUGCCCAGAUGGGAUUAGCUAGUAGGUGGGGUAAUGGCUCACCUAGGCGACGAUCCCUAGCUGGUCUGAGAGGAUGACCAGCCACACUGGAACUGAGACACGGUCCAGACUCCUACGGGAGGCAGCAGUGGGGAAUAUUGCACAAUGGGCGCAAGCCUGAUGCAGCCAUGCCGCGUGUGUGAAGAAGGCCUUAGGGUUGUAAAGCACUUUCAGCGAGGAGGAAGGCGUUGUGGUUAAUAGCUGCAACGAUUGACGUUACUCGCAGAAGAAGCACCGGCUAACUCCGUGCCAGCAGCCGCGGUAAUACGGAGGGUGCAAGCGUUAAUCGGAAUUACUGGGCGUAAAGCGCACGCAGGCGGUUUGUUAAGUCAGAUGUGAAAUCCCCGAGCUUAACUUGUGACUGCAUUUGAAACUGG
rnacentral:rRNA from 1 species